UACAAGUCAGAGGCAAAGUUUGACACUCAAUCUACUCUCUCCGCCUAGGAAGAAAGAAAACCCCACAGAAAAGAUUCCCUUGAAAUCCCUCCCACCUCUCUUUGCAGAGCAGUCAAGCCAAAGAGGAACCUACCUGGAUGCUGGGUUUGCGCCAGGCUCAGGGCACGCAACGUAAAGCCACCAUCCGAAGAGUGGCCGCAACCCGGGCUCCAGCAAAGCAGCGCAGCAAGAGCCGCAAUCACGGGGCGCACCGGCGCAGAUUUUCUGUUGGACAAGCUUAACUAAUCAGGCACUGGAGUAUGCCCAACCCUAUUGGAUCAACAACCUUGUGCAAGGAACCCAAAUUAGCUUAUCUCAGCAGAAGGUCAACCUCACACCAUCAGAAAGAGAAUGUUAUCUCUCAGGCAAAUCAUACAUAAACUCAGGUAUCUGCUUCUACUACUCCUUUCACUUUCAUUUGGCUUCUGACAAGCAAUAGAAUAGCAUAACAGCUUAGAUGUGUAUUCAUGGGGAAGAGCUCUGAAUCAUAAUUUGAGUCAGCAACUUGACUGACUUUUAUCUUCCAUGCACAGUGAUUCUGCAUUUUCUCAAUCUGGUCAAAGCCAGAGAUCAUCCACUGUUACAAUGCAACCAAAUGUGGUGCAAACACCUGUGACCAAAUGGUAUCCACCUACACCUACAAGAAAAUUGUUCAGCACUGCCCAAUGAUAUCA